UAUUCAAAGCAAAAAACAUAAAAAUGGGUUUCGGUUAUUUGAUGAACGUUGCAGUUAUGGCGGUGUUCGCUGUUUGUCAGUUGGCUAUGUAUGCUGAAGCAUCAUUAGGAGGAGGAUAAGAUACCUUUAAUCCUUGAUUUUCACUGGAGGUAGCGGCGGUCUAGGCAAGAAGUGAUACAACUUGGAGAAAUUAUUUAGAAUCCAUCAAGUCAUAAUCAACCAUACAUUCAAAUCCCAAUCGUCACUUUACAUACUAAGUAAUUUCAUAAAUUUACCUAUGUUUAAUCAUAUUAUUGUACAAGUCAUAGACAACCUAAAGCUUAGAAUUUAAAUUCCAUAGUACCAUAUUAUCUACUUGGGUAGGUGGAGGUGCACAUCUGUCUAUUCUAUCCGUUAUCUAGAAUUUUAUUCUUAUUCGUUUAUUCGCAUGGUAAUAAAAUAAAUACAGCAUCCGUAGUAAUUUA